rnacentral:rRNA from 1 species
GCUCAUUAAAUCAGUUAUCGUUUAUUUGAUAGUACCUUACUACUUGGAUAACCGUGGUAAUUCUAGAGCUAAUACAUGCUAAAAACCCCAACUUCGGGAGGGGUGUAUUUAUUAGAUAAAAAACCAAUGCCCUUCGGGGCUCCUUGGUGAUUCAUGAUAACUUAACGAAUCGCAUGGCCUUGCGCCGGCGAUGGUUCAUUCAAAUUUCUGCCCUAUCAACUUUCGAUGGUAGGAUAGUGGCCUACCAUGGUUUCAACGGGUAACGGGGAAUUAGGGUUCUAUUCCGGAGAGGGAGCCUGAGAAACGGCUACCACAUCCAAGGAAGGCAGCAGGCGCGCAAAUUACCCAAUCCCGACACGGGGAGGUAGUGACAAUAAAUACUGAUACAGGGCUCUUUUGGGUCUUGUAAUUGGAAUGAGUACAAUUUAAAUCCCUUAACGAGGAACAAUUGGAGGGCAAGUCUGGUGCCAGCAGCCGCGGUAAUUCCAGCUCCAAUAGCGUAUAUUAAAGUUGUUGCAGUUAAAAAGCUCGUAGUUGAACCUUGGGCUUGGCUGUCCGGUCCGCCUCACCGCGUGCACUGGUGCGGCCGAGCCUUUCCUUCUGGGAAGCCGCAUGCCCUUCACUGGGUGUGUCGGGGAACCAGGACUUUUACUUUGAAAAAAUUAGAGUGUUCAAAGCAGGCCUAUGCUCGAAUACAUUAGCAUGGAAUAAUAGAAUAGGACGUGUGGUUCUAUUUUGUUGGUUUCUAGGACCGCCGUAAUGAUUAAUAGGGAUAGUCGGGGGCAUCAGUAUUCAAUUGUCAGAGGUGAAAUUCUUGGAUUUAUUGAAGACUAACUACUGCGAAAGCAUUUGCCAAGGAUGUUUUCAUUAAUCAGUGAACGAAAGUUAGGGGAUCGAAGACGAUCAGAUACCGUCGUAGUCUUAACCAUAAACUAUGCCGACUAGGGAUCGGGCGAUGUUAUCAUUUUGACUCGCUCGGCACCUUACGAGAAAUCAAAGUCUUUGG